ensembl:lncRNA
CUCCUCGGCGGCGAGAUGUGGAAUGCGGACUUUACUGAACCAUAAAGUAUGCCGGGGGAGCUGGGGAGGGGGCCGAAGACAGAGCAAUUAGUUCAUGCUCAAGUCCAGACACCCAAACAUGGUUGGAGUCCAGCUGCAGGGAAUAUUUGAAAUAAAUGAGCUGCCCGGGGCCAGGAGUUUGCUGUGUUUUCUGUACGGGGCCAUGGCAACCAGAGAGAAAUCAUGAGCUAGGAAUUGGGCUCUAGAAUCAACAAAUGAUGGCCUGGCCGAGGAGGCCCAGAGGAAGCCGCUCAUGGCUCUCUGAGGGCCUCGCGGGGCUCAGCCGCCGGCAGCCGGGCUGGCCUUGCGGCCCUCCCGGUGUCCUCAGCGGCAUCCUGUCCCAGCUUCGGACCUCCGUGUCCUCGGCGGGGCCCUGACCUUUUCUCUUUCUCUCCUUUUUUCUUUCUCUUUUCCUUUCUUGUUUUAAGAGAACAGAAAGCUAACACUUCUUUGGAACCUUUCUUCCCGGGCCAGAACGCAGCAGCCGCUGCCAGUCUGAUAGUGAUUUUGCUGAGCAGAGGGAAUGUUCCCAGUGGAAAAGCCCAGGCUGAGGACAGCUGGCAGGAUGGAGUCGGCGCUGACUUACCCUGGGUCUGUCUUCCCACUCGACCCAGCUGCAGCCCGUCCUGGGUCCACCUUUUAGGCGGGAAAUGCAAAGACCUCGUUUACCCCUCUCCGGACUCUUCUGAGGGUGGACCUUCCAGCCGUCCCUAAGAUUGUGUCUUGUAGAGGCUCACGAAUAGCAGGACCCAGCUUGGGGGCCCGAAGCUGAAGUUCACAGGUACCUGCAGGUGAAUCACUAGGGCACCUUCGGGAAAAAGCAAACCCACAGAAACUCUGAUGCAGCACGUAGAGCCCAGGAAUCUGCAUCUUGAAACGCUGGAACCGAGUCUGACGCCCUGCCCUGGGGUGAAGGCAGAGUUGGACCCAGGCAGACCCCCUGACCUUCCCCGUUCCCUUCAGAGGCUCACUGGGGCUGUGACUCAGAAGCGUGGAGACCACUGGUGUGGGUGGAAAUCAGCUCUCCGAACCCUUCGUUUCAGAGCGCGUGCAAAUGUCCUGGAGAGCGGGGGCUGCGUGGCCAGCACCUUCCCAGAUAUUCCAAGCAAACCACGUUUGUGAGUUUCCUUCCCUUUGAUUGCUGUUCCACAAAGUCACCAUCGGGGUUGUGACCACCACAGCUAGAACCAACUUCAGCCAAAAAGCAAAGAACUUCCCUUUCGAGCUCGUCUGUGCGUCGUCCUCAUGGCCACGGAGAGGGUCCUGGGCUUUGGAGCCGGGGCAGCCUGCGAUUCACGCCCAGCUCCCCGACCCGCGUGGGACGGUAACUUCCAGCAAGGCUCUCAGGCGCCCUGCUGUCCCCGUCUGUGACCCAGCAGGAGCACUUUUCUCCCCGGGGGACCUGCUGAGACACUAGGAGCUUAGGGCUGGGCGCUUCAAGGUCCCUGGUGCCAGGACUCCGACCUCACCCUUUUCCACUGGUUUUUUACAACGUUGAGCUGGGGCGCCUGGGUGGCUCAGUCGGCCGAGCGUCCGACUUCAGCUCAGGUCAUGAUCUCGCAGUUCGUGGGUUUGAGCCCCGCAUCGGGCUCGCUGCUGUCAGCCUGUCAGCGCAGAGCCCUCUUCAGAUCCUCUGUCCCCCUCUCUCCGCCCCUCCCCCGCUGGUGUUCUCCCCAAACUAAAUAAAUAUUUUUUUAAAAGUUGAGAUGAAGCUCA